rnacentral:rRNA from 1 species
GGACUACCAGGGUUUCUAAUCCUGUUUGCUCCCCGCACUUUCGCGCCUCAGCGUCAGUCAGCGGCUGGAAGCUCGCCUUCGCCACCGGUGUUCUUCCUGAUAUCUACAGAUUUCACCCCUACACCAGGAAUUCCAGCUUCCCCUCCAUGACUCAAGCCUCACAGUUUCCAGCGCAGCCCAUGAGUUAAGCUCAUGUAUUUCACGCCGGACUUGAAAGGCCGCCUACGCGCCCUUUACGCCCAAUAAUUCCGAACAACGCUCGCCCCUUACGUGUUACCGCGGCUGCUGGCAC